UACGGAGGAUGCGAGCGUUAUCCGGAUUUAUUGGGUUUAAAGGGUGCGUAGGCGGAACAUUAAGUCAGCGGUAAAAUCGAGGGGCUCAACCCCUUUAAGCCGUUGAAACUGGUGAUCUUGAGUGGGCGAGAAGUAUGCGGAAUGCGUGGUGUAGCGGUGAAAUGCUUAGAGAUCAUACAGAACACCGAUUGCGAAGGCAGCUUACCAAACUAUAUCCGACGUUGAGGCACGAAAGCGUGGGUAGCAAACAGG
rnacentral:rRNA from 1 species